rnacentral:rRNA from 1 species
GUGGAUAGACCAGGGAUGGAAGUGCAGAGAUGCAUGGAGUUGACUGGCACUAAUCGGUCGAGGACUUGAUCUA